rnacentral:rRNA from 1 species
AGGGGAAUUUUGGACAAUGGGCGCAAGCCUGAUCCAGCCAUGCCGCGUGCGGGAAGAAGGCCUUCGGGUUGUAAACCGCUUUUGUCAGGGAAGAAAUCUUCUGAGUUAAUACCUCGGGAGGAUGACGGUACCUGAAGAAUAAGCACCGGCUAACUACGUGCCAGCAGCCGCGGUAAUACGUAGGGUGCAAGCGUUAAUCGGAAUUACUGGGCGUAAAGCGUGCGCAGGCGGUUUUGUAAGACAGAGGUGAAAUCCCCGGGCUCAACCUGGGAACUGCCUUUGUGACUGCAAGGCUUGAGUGCGGCAGAGGGGGGAUGGAAUUCCGCGUGUAGCAGUGAAAUGCGUAGAUAUGCGGAGGAACACCGAUGGCGAAGGCAAUCCCCUGGGCCUGCACUGACGCUCAUGCACGAAAGCGUGGGGAGCAAACAGGAUUAGAUAGCCCCUGGUAGUCCACGCCCUAAACGAUGUCAACUGGUUGUUGGGAAGGUUCCUUCUCAGUAACGUAGCUAACGCGUGAAGUUGACCGCCUGGGGAGUACGGCCGCAAGGUU